GUGGUUCUGUUGGAUUAUAUUUCAACUGAAAAAUGGAAAGAUCUUGUUGAUUUUGAUGACCACCUUGAUGACAUUAGCAAAGACUGGUUGAACCCUGAACUCUUCAAAUAAACCGGUCUGUCUGGUUAGCAAUCUUGCCACCAAUACUGCAAGUGGUUGGCGUUCUACUCAGUUGUUCAUGUUGGAUUUUAGACGAUGAGGCUCGACUAAUCAGAGAAUUACGUACGACUUUUGUCUUGUGAGGAAAUGUUUUCAAUGAUAAAUCAACUUUUCAGUUAUCUCCAGUUGAACUUGGUUGUGUAAACUGCAAGUGAUUCAUCAAGGUAUUGGGUGCCAAGUUUAGAGUUGGGUUCA